CAUUGUUUAUCUAUGGAGCCUGGAGGCUGCCUCCUUCACUGCUGUUUCCCUCCGUCUCUGAUCCUCCGUCUCUCAGUUCUCUACGCUCCAAUUCUGAUUUUGGACCAACAGGAUGGACAAACUGCAGGUUGGUGUGGUUCUGCUGAUGAUGUUGGGCCCAAGUUCUGCUCAGUUACCGAGAACUGAUCUGUCAGCCAUGUCCAGAAGGUAAAGCACAGAUGAUGAUGAUGAUGAUGAUGAUGAGGAUGAUGAUGAUGAUGAUGAUGAUGAUGAUGAUGAUGAUGAUGAUGAUGAUGAUGCAGGGUGCUGCUUCUGGUUCUGACCUGUAGGUUACUAUGUGACCAGGAACUGCACGGCCCGGGACGGAGUCGGAUACGGAACCAAAUGUUCUCCCUGCACCGACUGUUCAGAGUCUCUCCAGCAGACCGUGGUUCCAUGUUCUGCCUAUACCAACUCUGUCUGCAUGAACAGAACCACAUCGGUACCAGCACCGGUCCAGAUGGCAGGUAAGAUCAGCGCCAUCAGGAAGGGGCUGACUGUUCACCUCUGACCUCCUGUGACCUCUGACCUCCUGCUUCUCAUGUCCUCAGGUUCUUCUGCCUCCAUCUGGAUCGGACUCGGUGCUACGUCUUCAUCGUUGCUUGCGGUCGUUCUCCUCCUGGUUCUGGUCAUCUGGAAGACCCGCAGGACCGAGGGCUUCGUGAAGCUCCUCCCCCUGAACACCAGCUCACCUGUGCAGGAGGCCCCGCCCCCUCACCAGGCCGUUCCAGUCUGACUAGAACGACAGACAACGAAGCUCCUCUCAGCUCAGACGCUGCUGCAGCUACCUGCUGUGGCCCCGCCCCCUAAGAGCCCAGGUGUGGCUGUAGAUAGGGUCAGGUAGAGUUAGGACAGGGUUAGGUUAGGGUUAGCCAGGUACGUGUCAGGUUAGCCAAUCAGAAGUCCGAACAGCUGUGACAUCACUUCCUGUAUCGGUCAGGUGUGAUUUGAGGACAGUUCAGAUGUGUUACUCUGCUGGUUCUGACCCGGUUGGGCCCGGUCCACGACUCAGAGAGAGUUCUAUGGUCCAGACCAAACGGGAAGUGGCGAAUGAAACAGGAAGUGGUCACAAACAAGAAGUGAAACCUCAGAGGACAUCGUCAAAAGAUGACAUCAUCACAAGAUGACAUCAUCACAAGAUGACAUCAUCACAGGAUAGAUAGAUAGAUAGAUAGAUAGAUAGAUAGAUAGAUAGAUAGAUAGAUAGAUAGAUAGAUAGAUAGAUAGAUAGAUAGAUAGAUAGAUAGAUAGAUAGAUAGAUAGAUAGAUAGAUAGAUCAUGAUUGGUAGAAACUCUCCUCAGCAGUCUGAAGAACCCGGGUGAACCUCUCCCUCUCCAGGCUGGUGGUCUCUGUAGGAGGUCAAAGGUCAAACUGGGAUUUCUUGUUUGACAUGCUGAGUCUCUAUCAUCAGUGUAGAUGACCUUUGACCCUGCUAGCCUCACGCUGGAGGUUCUGUUCAUGUUAAUCAGUAACAGCAGUUAUUCCUGAUGGGGUCAAAGGUCAACAUCCAGCUGUAGACACAGUUAGUUGAACAUUUAUUCCUCGUUAACUUUCAGCCAAACAGGAAAAGUUUUUCUGGGUUUGAUUCUACAGUAAAAGUAAUCUGAUUACUUUAGUUUGGCGUUAAAGUAUUUGAGAGAAAAAAAAAGAGCAGGAAGUUAAACUUUUAUUAUUAUAGUCAGAAAUAUUUCCUUCAUAUUAGAAAUAAAAAGAUCAAAGCUGUGGGGUCAAAGUUCAUAGAGCAGCACAUGCUGUGGAGCCUACAUUUCCCAUGAUGCACCUGCAGCGUCAGGCUGAGGAGGAACUAGAGAGACAGUUCCCUUGGUGAUGGUCAGGGUUUACUGGGUUUACUGGGAUAACUGGUUCUGUUCUGGAACUCAGUUCUUGUCUUGAGAAAGUGAGACCUUGAAUCAUGUGUUAUUUAUUAUGUGUUUCUACUUUUAUUUUAGUGUUUUAUUUAAUAUUUCAUUGUUUUUAUUUAUUUUGAUCAAACACUUGAAUGAAGUGAAGAACCGAUUCGCUGAGGAACUGAAGCCACGCCCACUCUGUCCUGGAUCUGCUCUCUGAUUGGCUCAAUGUGUCACAUGAUCAGAACUGUCCAGCAGAACCGGCUUCAUUUCUAAAACUGCAGUAAUGAUUUUAUUGUUGAUAAAACUGAAACUACCUGAAUGUUUCUGAUCAAUAAAAACAUUUAAAGUUUAA